UGUUGGAGGAAGAAGCAUUCCCAUAAAAUUCACUACCCACCAUUUUAACUCCUUUCAUUUCUAAGAUAGAAAGAUGUUUAAGAGAGGGUAGCUGCCCGAGUGGUGGCAAUGACGAGCAAUUGUUACAAUUCUGAAGCCCCAGGUCAACAAGAUUGAAGAAUGAAGGAUCUCCUACCCAAUCUGGAAAGCUUAAACCACUAAAAGAAUAAAUAUGGAGUCUCUUGAGGUUUGUAUGUGGCUGUAAGCUGUUGAGUAUAUCCCUUCUAUUUUGCACAACACCACCAAGGUCAGUGUUCUCAUAAUCCCACUCAAACUUCAACUCAUCAAGGUACUUUUUAUCCUUCAUAUUAGCUUCUAAUGCAUCCCUAUCACAUACUACAUUCCCCAACUUUGAAAUGACAAGACUUCCCGAAAGCUCCCUCAAUGCUCCCAAUCUUAACCCACCAUUUUGGCCCACAAUAAAUGUAGAAAGUGAUUGUAAAUUCUUUAGCAUACAUGUAUCACUUGGCAUCUCUUUCAACCCACUACCAAUAAUAUCAAGGUAACGCAAAUUAAUCAAUUUUUCCAUCCUUGAGGAUAAUUCAACGAGACAAUGACAUCCCAAUAACAUCAUUGUUUGUAAAUUAUACAAGUUACAAACUGAUUCACGCAACAUUUGAAUCCUUGUCCUAGAGAGAUCCAAGUAGCGCAAGUGUUUCAACUUCUCAAUCGAAUGAGGCAAAUCAGUAAUAAGAUAACCAUUUAAACACAACACUCGUAAACAUUUCAUUUCCGGCAAUAGAUGGUGUAGAACUCUAUUACUUAAAAAGUUAUAUUGAAAGUACUGAUAUUUGCUUAUUGGUAAAAAUGUUCGGAGACACUAAUUUGAGAAAGUGGAUCAAAUCUCUCAUAGACAUCAUAUUCAUUAAUCAAAUAUGAUAAAUGACAAGUUUUCUCCGAGACUUUGUAUAUCUUACCAUCCUCCAAAGAAGUAGAAAAUUCUCCCAAUACCAAUUGUGCCAUGUCAUUAACGAGGUCGUGCAUUACAAAACAUGAGUCAUUGCUAAUUGAAUUUUGAAAAAAUGACUUUGAUAGAAGUUCUUGAAAGUACAAAUUACCUACCUCUUCCAUUCUUUUCUUGCUUUUUGAUUGUUCCAACAAACCUUCUGCCAUCCAUAACAAAACUAGCUUCUCAUUUUCGAAUUCGUAGUCUUUGGGAAAGAUUGAACAAUAAGAAAAACAACGUUUUAGAUGUGAAGGAAGGUAAUAAUAACUCAACCUCAGAGCAGGAAGAACCGCAUCUGUGGGCAAAUCCCAUAAUUCACUGUUUAAUACAUCAUCCCAUUCUCUUGCUUCAACCUUGGAGUGUAGGAGACUCCCCAUUGCUUUUAUAGCCAGCGGUAGACCUUGGCACUUGUGGACAUUCUUUUCUCCGAUUUCUUCUAGUUGUGGAUGCCCACUUGAGUCUCCAUUUUCAAAUGCAAGUUUUUUGAACAGUGACCAACCAUCUGCAGAGGAUAACCCACCUAAACAAUGAGUAUGGACUGCACGCAUGGCAGAUGCAACAUUGGUGCUUCGUGUAGUUACAAUAAUCUUGCUUCCCUUUGCACCGACUAUGAGUGGAGUUCGUAGCAUGUCCCAGUCACAAGAGUCUUCGUUCCAAACAUCAUCCAGGACAAGUAAAAAAUUCUUCAUAUUAAUUCUUUCCUUCAGUUGAACCUGAAGUAGAUUUAGAUUAGUGGUACUGGACGUGGAUGAAUUGACCGCCUCGAGAAUUGUUUUCGUAACUCUGAUAGGAUCAAAUUCUUCGGAAACACAAACCCAUGCCUUGAUUUCGAAGUGUUCCUUCACCCUUUGGUCAUUGUAGAGGAGCUGGGCAAGUGUGGUUUUGCCCGUGCCACCCAUGCCGACUAUGGAGAUCACACCCAUCGCAUCAGUACUCCUUGCAUUAUCGGACAGCAACAGUUGAACCAUCUCCUCCUUAAUUUGAUCCCUGCCAUAGACAAGAGAUUCAUCUACCAAAGAAGUAGAAGGCCACCUUUGUGACAGUUUCUCGCCAUCACCUUCUUUCAACCCAAGGACGUCUCUGUCUCGUGCCAUAUCUUCUAGUCUAUCAAUGAUCUCCUCCACCCUAGACUCUAUGCCCUGACCAUCAAAUGGAGCGAGAACCCAGGUUGACAUGUCCAUGAUGUUACCCACCUGACUUGUGCUGGUUUGGGACUCCGCAGCUUCCACCUUGUAUCGCAAAGCCUCUGUGGCGAUCUCAUCCAAUAUGUCCUCCGCAUCAUACACGGCCUCUUUAAGCAAGACCAGCCACUUCUUCACAUAUGGAUUUGUAAACUGUUUGACCUCAGCAUCGUUGAGCACUGCAUGGACCACCAGCAACUUCCUUUCCAACUUCUUCAGGAGCGCAUCGCUGAGCGUCUGUGUUAUAUAUAUAUAUAUAUAUAUAUAUAUAUAUAUAUAUAUAUAUAUAUAUAUAUAUAUAUGUAUAUAUUGUUGGUUAAAAAAUAAAGUGUAAGAAGAGUUACACUUUUGAAAAUAACUUUUGGAAAAUAAAGUGUAAGAAGGGUUACACUUUUAAAUGUGUGAAUUAAACAUAUGAUUUAAUUUUGAAUGUUACAAAGAUGAAGAGGUUGAGGAAGACAAUGAGUCUUCUCAUCUUUGUAACUUUAUAAACUUAAGAGGUUAAGUGUAAGAGAGUUACAUAUUUGAGAUUAAAUCAUGUUUAAUGUGUGAAUUAAACAUAUGAUUUAAUUUUGAAUGUUACAAAGAUGAAGAGAUUGAGGAAGACAAUGAGUUUUUUCUCAUCCUUGUAACCUUUUUUCAACCCUAAGAGUGCUAUAUAUAUGACUUUUCUUCUUUUUGAAAUCUCAUGUAGAAAAGUGAAAAGGCUUUAUCAAUCCCAAGACUAUUUCCAUUUAGUUCCCAAAAGAUUUCUAGAGGUGGGAGGAAAUAGAGUCUUUGGACAAAGUUCCAAGAACUUGUUUGAGUCUUUCUUGUGUUCUUCUUCUUCUUGUUCUUAUUUUGUAUCUAAGAGAGUUUUAUUGUAUCAAAGUGAGUGUGUGAGAGUGUUUCUUUUCUCCAUUGUAUCCAAAUUUUAUCAACAGUCUGCCCCCGGAUGAAGCUCAUAACCUCGCGAGAAGCCAACCUGUCAAAUAGAACUUGGAGAGAAGCUGAGAGAAACGCACCUCCAACUAAAGCCCCUGCCAUUUCUGUUUCUCUUGCAAAGGAGGUGAAAGAUGAAUCGAGGGAAGAAGAAAGCAAGCAGACCCAAAAUGAAACCUCCAAACCAGAAAAAAAAAUUAUAGAGAAAAUCCAACUUGUUGACGGUAAAGGAACUUUGGAUUCCAAAGUUUUCAUGGUAGACCCCCCCAUAUGCCAGCUUUCUUUGCCGACAACAAACUUCAUUGGUCAAUAUAUAGAAAAUGAAAAUUUGAUUGAAGAUUUUCAUCCUUCGUACAUGAUUUUCCUUCCAUUGUGAUAAAAACGUAGACUUAAUUGAAGCUUCAUGAAAGCCAUCUUCUGACUUUUUCUGGAUUUCAUUAUUGAUUAAAUGAAAAGUUUUGGUUGUAAAUCAAUGUAUUUUGAGAAUUAAAUGAGAUUUAUAUAAAAAAAAAUAUAUGAAAAUUUACUUUUAUUGUGUGCUUAAUAUACAAGUAAGGUGAAAAAAAUUAUCAGGUUUUGAUUUGGAUCAAGGGUUAAAUCUUGGGGGAUCAUGAUUAAAGAAUGAUAUUAUAAAUAUAUAAUUUAUACAUCAAUUAAAAAUAACUCACAAAAAUUAAAAUUAUUUGUAAAUAUUUAAAAUAAUUGAAAUAUUUUAUCAUUUUAUGUUUAAUAUUAUUAUAUUAAAUCGUGAUAAGAAUAAAAUAUAAAUUUAUUAAUAUUUUUAUUUUACUAGUUACUAAAAAUAUUAUAUUUAAUUAUUGAAAGAAUGUAUUAUAUAUAAAAAAAUAGAAUAAGAUUUUGAUAUUUAUUUUUUUCAUUUUAUAUUGUAUAAAUCUUGUUAAUAAUUUAGUGUGAAUAUAUACAUGAAUAUCCAUUAUAUUCAUUUUAAUAUGAAUAUUAAACCCAAAUUGUUUAAGUUUAAUUUUUAGGAAAAUUGGUUGUUUAACAAGAUCGAUGGUUUAAGUGGUUCAUUGGGUAAGAUUGUUCAAUUUCUCAAUAGUAGGAUGAUUGGUCGAUAUUCCAACAGGUCGAAUUAUCCAAUUUGGUUCAAUUUUUAAAACCUUAAUUAAUAAGCAACAACAUGUAAUUUCUAGAUGGAUUAUGAUUCUUAUAUCAAAUUUCAAUAGAAUCGUUAAUGUAUAAAGUUUUUUCAUACAUAGAUACUAUGGAUUUGUUUGGAAAAUUUUGAAAAACAAUUCUUAGUUAUUUUGAGGAAUAAAAUUCUAUUUGAAAACUCAAAUAUAUAUAUAUAUAUAUAUAUAUAUAUAUAAAAGGCUUUAUUAAUUUAUUUUUUAUAAAAGUAUCAUGCAUUUAUGUAUAAUUCAAAAGUUUUUAAAAUAUUUUACAUUUUUUUAAUUAUUACUCACAACUCAAGCAUGCACAAAAAAUAACUAAAAACAUCUCAAAUUUAUUAUAAAAAAGUUAUUUUUAGAAUACAUUCUCAAAAAAUUAUUUUGUAUAAAAAAUGUUCUAUAGAAAAAAAAUAAAAAUUCAAAAAUCAUUACUAGGCAAGCCUAUGCUACUGUGGAUGCUUUGGACAAAAUGAAAAAGAAAAAUAGUAUUUUUCAAUACCAUUUGAAAUCAUGAAAAUACCAUAACCUUGCAUACAAUAUAUGGGUCAAGGCCUUUAAAAAAAAAAAUUUCUUUUUAUUUGGAUAUCUAACUUGGGAUUCAAGGUUUAAUUAGGAAUUUGGUCAUUCAUCACCAUUUUCAGUGGUUGAAAUUCUUAGGUAGACUUGGUUGUUGACUUGGUAGUUCACAUUAAGCCAUAUGGACUUCAGACCCACCCACCAGAAAUGAAUGAAAAUAAAGGCAAAUAAAAAGCUAUUUUCAAGAAUCAUUACCAAACAAGCCUAUGUUGUUGUGGAUGCUUUCGACAAAAUGAAAAAAAAAUGGUAUUUUUAAUACUAUUUGAAAUCAUAAAAAGACCAUAACCUUGCAUACAGUAUAUAUGGGUCAAGGCCUUUUCAAAAAAAUAAUUUCUUUUUAUUUGGUCAUUCGGCACCAUUUUCAUUGAUUGAAAUUCUUUCGUAGACUUGGUUGUUGACUUGGGAAUUCACAUCAACCCAUGUGGACUUCAAAUUCACCUACCACAGAAAUAUGAAAAUAAAGGCAAAUAUGAAAGGCAAGUGGUGGUGAUAGGAAGACUCUUAUCAGUAACUUUUGUCAGGUACUGGAGCUUAGGGCGGCUGUAGACCAAUGUCAUCGUGAAUCUUAUCAAUCCCUAUUAUUGAUUGUUAGGGUUGUAGCUUAAGAAAAUAUCUUCAAUCAAUCAAAUGAUGCAUCCGCAAAUCCAAGUCUCCAGCAAAAUUUAAAUUAUUAUUGAAUUUGUAGUUUGACAUCCACACACAUUCUUUCCACAUCAUUUGAUGGCCCUUUAUGGAUUAUCUAUAAAUUCAGAGUACUUUGGAUUUGAGGGCCAUGAAGGAAAAAAUGACAGUGGUAAAGAAGGAAAAAGUGGAACUGUAAUUAGCUUGGCCCUUGAGAAAUAUUUUUUGGGCACACUGUUCCAUCAUUUGGCCAGAACCAAAAUCCUCAAUGUGUCAAAGUGAUGUUGUACAAAAUUCCUUACAGGUUAAUAAUUGUCGACACAUUUCUGCCAUGAAUACAUAAGCUGGUUGUAUUAGAGCUCUCCACAUUACUGAGACAAAUGGGCUCCUGCCAUGAAACAGUUGAUUUUUUCCAAGGAAAUGAAAAUUUUGUCCUAGUUGAUUUCCAAUGACCCAUCCUUAUAUCUGCUUGCUCAUUUUUCCAUUUUUGGAGUUCAUUCUUUUGCUCCUUAAUUGUCUAAGCUCUGAUGGAUGCUAAUCUUAAACUGUGUAGCACUAGCCAACCCUGUGGAAAUGGAAAACAUGGUAGUUAGGUGUGGCCAAGAAGUCUCAGAGCUCUUCGAUCGUUCUGAAAGAGGCAGGAAUUGAAGAAAUUGUUGAAAUCAUGAGUGGAUUUUGAAGAGAUGGUAAGGAAGCCUCCAACAUCAGCAAACUUCAAGUGAGGAUAGCAGUUAUGAGUAGGAUGUUGGUGAAGAGCCUGCAAGCUGGGGAUGCCAUGUUUGAGAGAGUAUCCCAUGCUGUUUAUUUGGCUGCGAGAGUAGUAGUGCUUGCAGGGAAUGGCCCUCAAGGAAGAAAAUUAGCAGAAAUGGCACUCCGGCGGGUGGGAGGCUUUGAUCUGACUGAUAGAGUGGUGGCAACAGCCAUGUGUAGGUUAAUGUUCAUGGGCAAUGGUUUGCUUAUCUGACUGAUAACAUGUGAUUGGUUUGUCAUGAAGAAGGAAGUUAAUUGCGAGGUGGAAAGAAGAAAAUAAUGAACACACCCUGUACAUAGUAGUGGGUGUACAUUUUUGUUUUAAGUAUGAACACAGGAUGCAAGGUUAUUAAUAUGAAGAAAUAUUUCAUGAAUAGGAGAGAGGGACGUUGUAAAUAAUAUUUAUAACAUUUGGGACACAAAUUAUUGCUUUUAGAUUUCAUAUUCAAGUUUCUCUUUCAUUGGGAUAUAAAUUGUUGCAGUGUAUGAAGAUAUUAGGAACUACUGGGUGCAAAGUUGGUUAAAACUAUUGUGAUUGUUCAUAUAUCAAGAUGGUCUGUGUCUUUGCUGCUGUCUUCCAUGGGGAGAGCCAUGGGGUACUGUUUCAUUGGAAAGAAAGAUCAUUUCCAAAUGUCUAGUGAUAAAAUCAAAUUGAAAGCCUGCAGGGAAUAUCAAUAAAUUAGUCCAUGGAAGAGAAUUUGAGGCUCUUGAGUAUAUAUCAAGAAGACAAGUCACUUAUUAUAGCUGGAGAGCUGCUUGGCACCAUGUCUUAUGACCAUAGGCAACAAUGACUCCAUAGUUAAUUUGUGUAUCAGGACAUUUGAGACCAGAACUGACAAUUCAAUCUUAAUAUUGAAGUACAAGAUGUUGAACAUCAACUUCUGUGAAGGAUUGGAGUUUAGAGCAAGUAGAUAUGCCCUUAAAGGAACAGUUAGAUGUCAAUUAAAACUGACCUAAAUUGGCUAGAUCGAAAUGGUACUUCAAACACAUAUUGAGAGGUGCUUUGACUUUUUCUAUGUUUCUGCCUUACAAGGAAGAAAAUACUUCAAAAAAUCCACAUAAUCAUUGGUAAGUACAAGAAGACCCCAAUAUUCUGUGUCUGCUUUCAACUGCUGUGUUGGAAGAAAAAGAAAAAAAAAAAACCCUCUAAUUGAAGGAAGGGGGCAAAUUAGCAUAAAAUGCUACUUUCCCAUGCCACGGUCUUUUGUAUUAUGAAGCUUUGAACCAUCUCAACCCAAAGGAUAUCCAUCAAUCUAAUAGUUCAUCAUGAUUUUCAAAACACAGGUUUGCAUGCAACAAUGACACUAAAGAAUAAAGAUUGAUGCUAGUUUCAAAGGACUACUGAGUCAGACAUUUGUUUUCCGUUGGAGAUGGUGCCCUAAUCAAGAAGAUGUUAAAGGGUGAUUAGACUUGGAAGUGUCAUAACCACCUGAAAGAAAACAAUCACAAAGACAUGGACAGAUGCACAAAAGAUGUAUGUAUCCAUUAACAAAUGGUUAAUUGAGAGGAAGACAUCAUUUUGAAACUAAAAGGAUUUCGGGUUUCUUAGCUUUGGUAGUAGCACACCCAACAUCUCCUUGUUUAAUACAAAUCAUCUUCCUAGCACUAAAACAGCAGCAUCUUCAGGCGCCUUUGCAGAAGCUCUCAGCACCAGUUAAUGAAGGUGACUCAUGAGGGAUGGUCAAAGGACUGGCUGAGAUAUCUGAAACAGAAGACAUGUUUAUUAUCUGUCUGUGAAUAACUAGUCAGAGGCAUGUUUCGGUAUCAUUUGGGGUAUAAGUUAAUGGAUUUCAUGUUUCACCUUUAAUUUUCUAUUUCUUAUUUAUUAUGUACUUUAAGCUAAAGUACAUAGCUGUUGUGGGACAUGGAAACAAGGCUCUGUAAUUCAUCACUAACAAUGUUCUGGAAAAUUCCAAUUAAAGUAAUAUUUGAUCAUAUCUUGCAGAUUAGGUACCCUAGAACUAAGGGCUUGAGCAAACUUGUCUAUUGCGUAAAGAGAGUAAAGAAGCUUAACAUAACGUCCUUCAUUCCUUCUAUUCAGAAUUAGGAAAUUGAAUGAGAACAAAUCAAGUUACAGUAUUCUUCAGGAUGUAAAAAUCUUUCAAAACAUCUGACUCUGUUGAUACAAACAAUGGGAAUUCCCCCAAUGAGAAGCACUGGAACAUUGUCAAUUCUAAGAAAAGGAUCCUGGUUCUGAUUUCUGAAUAGGGUACAUGAGAGUGAUCUAAGUGAUCAUCCCAACAGCAACACCAUGUAUACAGAAGACCUAAGAAAGACCAAAACAAGAACAAAAUGACAUCAAAAUUAGGAAAGAAACAAAUGCAGCAAAAUCAUAACAAAGAUACUAUAUUCCUGUAUCCUUGCCUUUCAAAUGUGACUAAUUGGUGAUCUCUCACUUUAUGCAAGCAGAAGCACAGCAAACACCAUCUCUGGUAAAAUGCUGACUGCCAAACCAAUACAGAGCAACCUCAUUCAAACUUGACCAGACUUGACCAAUUCCAGUUAAGUUUUUAGGCACUGAAAGAGCAGAACCUUCCUCAGGCCACCUUUCAUUCCCAACAACCUUUGAAAUAAUUUUGUUACAAAUUUAAGUAACAAAUCCUUAUUUUUUGAAAAGCAUAAGCCAAAAGAAAACAUACCUGUUUCUUUCUGGUUAGGUAUAAGAUAUCACACAUUUCAACCUCAUACAACCUACAAAAUGAUGUAAGAACAACUUGUAAUUUGCAGAUUACGAAGAGCGUCUCCUUUGUUGUAUCCUCAGAAAAUGGACCAAAGCAAUUCAAAAAUUUCUCUAACCAUAAAUGUGCCCUUUUAUGCUUAUGUAAGAGAAAAUCAGAAAUCAGCCUUACCCAUUCCAAAGAAAAUGUAACUGAGUCAUUGAGAAUAUAUAAGUGACUUUGUUUGGUAUGAGCUACCUGGGAAGAAAUCAUUGUUCAUUCUUGAUAUCUUUGUUCCUGAUUUGUACCAAACAAACAGAGCAUAAAAUUGACUUUUGUUAAUGCAUAAUUCUUGAAUAGAGUUGAGAAGUGUAUGAAGAUUCUUAUGAUUGUCCAUGAGUAGAACUAUUGUGAUUGUCCAAGGGGAGUUGACCUUGGGUGUUGAAAAUUAGCAAUGAAAGAGUUGAGGGCAUGUAACUUGGCUGUUGUCUUCCAUGGGCAGUCAUUGAAGAAAGAUCAUUGCCAAAUGUCUAGUGAGAAAAUCACAUUGAAAGCCUGUAGUAAAUAUCAAUAAAUUAGUCCCUGGAAUAGAAUUAGAGGAUCAUGAGUAUAUGUAAUAAGACAAGGCACAAUGCAUUAUGACCAUAGGCAACAACAUCUUAAAAGUUUGUGUAUUAGGAGACUUGUUACCAGAACCAACAAUCAAACCUUAAUCUUGAAGCACAAGAUGUUGAAGAUCCACUUCUUUCAAGGAUGGAGCUCAGGACAAGUAGAUGUCAUGCACAACUGACCUGAACUUGGCAAGAUUGAAAUAGAACAGUUCCCAAUGACCAAAACUUAGGGGUGCUUUGACUACUUUCUUCUGCAAGUACAAGAAGACCUCAAUAUGCUGAAUCAUGAAAAUGCAAGGGUGAAGGAAGAGGGUGAAGUCGAAGCAAGUGCCAUUCCAAAUAAACACAAAUUGGACUUAAAAUAGUAACCAAAACAAAUUGAAUUAUAGGCUCUUUUGGAGGGAUCCCUUUUUCUAAUUUCAUAAAUUCUCAAAUUCUAAUUUUGUUUCAAAGUCACAAAUGAAAAAUAAAUUCAUAUAAAUUAUUUCUAUUUACUUGAUAUAUUUCUCAUUAUGAAAAAAAAAAAUGUGUUUCUCAUAAGAAAUCUUUAAUGUUCUUCUUGGAAACUUAAUAUGAGAUGGGAAGAGGAGAAAAGAUACAAUAUCUUGAUUCUAAUUCAACUCCUUUGAAAAAAUAACUUGCAAAAGGAUCAAAAUAAGUAUUCCUAUAAUUCGAAAUUGUUUACAUGCAAUAGUUAGACCUAGAGCCUAUUUGUGAUGUAGGUAAAAUUGCAAGCACAUUUCAUCAUAGACAUAGAUAGACAAUACCUAAGGUAUUCGAAGAUGUACAAGUGUUUAAAUCAUUGGUAUUCCACAACAAAUACAUAAACUUGCAAAACCUUUUUAGUCUUAAUAUUCAUGUAAUUUUUUUUGUUUUCAGGCUUGUAGCAUAUGAGCAAAAAAUUUGAAGUCAAAGGGCAGAGUACUCUGCAUACUCAAAUCUCCAACAACAGGACAACAAAAAUUGACAUAGGGCAUUACAAAUUUCCAAUGGAAUAGUCUCUGAUGUGUGUGUUUGCUGCUGCCUUUCUAGGGGGAGACUCAUCAAAUAUUGUUUCAUUGGAAAGAUCACAGGCAUAUAUCAAGAACACAAGUCUCUUAUACGUGGAGGGCUACUUGGCACCAUGUCUGUCUCAUGACCAUAGGCAAUAAAAUCUUACAAGUUUGUGUAUUCGGAGACUUGUGUUAACCUGAGAAACAUAAAUAUAUUACCAUAAUAGAAAUGAUUAGCAAUUCAGACGUACAAAUUUCGCUACUUUAAUAAAUUGCCUCAUCAAUAUUUUUGGAAUGUGGAACAAGUACCUGACUGACGGUAUUUAGCACACCCAAGUCAUUAUGUGUGUGGAAUCACCACCUUCAUGAGUAAUUUAGUAGAGCACACCACCUAUCACUAUGCGUGGAAUGUGAGCUAUAUAUUCCCAAUCUUGGCCUUUCUCAAAUCGGCACCCAUGCUCCAGCAAAGGACAACUCUUGAUUUUCAGACGAGAGAGGGAGUUUGGCAGUCUCUCUUUUGUCAAGCAUUGGAGAUGUGGGCAAUUGGAGAUAGACAAUUUUUUAAGAGAGGUGAGGUGUUGAAGACCUACUUCUCUCAAGGAUUCGAGCACAGGGAGGGAGUCCAUCUUUAAUUUUUCAAGAGAGGUAAGAUGUUGAAGCCCCUCUUCUCCGAAGGAUUGGAACUUAGGGCAAUCGGAGAUGGAUAAUGUUGUUAGAGAGGUAAGUUGUUGUAGCCCCUUGCUGUCCAGAGACUUGAGAUUCGGAAGACCAGAUAUGUUAAGAGAGGAAAGUGUGGAGGGCAGUAGGGAUUCCUUGGGAAAUGAUUCCAUGUCUUGGCAUCCGCCACUGAUUGUGAAUUUUGUAAGAGAGGCCAGUCUUUGCAAACCCCAGUCCACCUGAGAUGUGAGUUGGUUGCAGGAUGAAAUUUCAACUUCACGUAGGUCGGAGGGCAAACCAUCUUUCUGAAACCACAAUUCUGGACAAUCUAUUAACCUCAAUUCCUGCAACGAUGAGUGUGUGUGCGCCAGCAACUUCAGCUUCCUGCAUCUGAAGAUAUAAUUGUGUGCUGACUCAAGAGCGGGCAAUUCAAUAUAUACAAGAUCAGGGCACUUUCGGAUAUCCAAACGAUUAAGAGAAGUGGGAUCCCCCUCUGAAAUGGAGAUGGAGAGGAAUGCAAGCCCUUCAAAUUCAAGGAUGUGCAAAUGAGUCAACCGUGGGAAGAUGCUUAAUGAGAAAGAUAAUGAGAAAGAAUUACGGCUGGUAACAUAAAAAAUGUAUAAAUAUUCAAGGAAUGGAAGGUGGGAUGUCAAUAGCGCAGGCAGGAGAAACUCCAGUUUGGUACACUCCCAGAUAAUUAGUGACUUCAAUGUAGUGGGUAAACCAACGCUGUGCAAGGGUCUGGAGAAACGACAACUUGUGAUGUGCAAAUGUUGGAGAAGACAUGUGCUUCCUUGUAGCAUUCCCUCCUCCAAUACCCACUCUAUCGAAUCACAUUCUCUGAUUCUUAGCGUCUGUAUUCGUGGUGGCAGUUCCUCCAAUUGAGAGAUGUCUGAAAUUUGAAUUUCUGAAGUUUGGAGAUCAGUGAACCCACCAGCUGGCUUUUUCAACCGAAAUUUACCAUGAUACCCCAUUUUCCUUUCACGGAUUUGAGGAGCUCGGAGGGAGCCCACAACCAACUCGGAACUACUGAUUUCAAGUUUCUUCAAUGAACGAAGCUGUUUUGGUAAUUUCCCAGUGAGUUUGGGACAUUCAUUUAUACAGAGCUGCUGAAGACGAGGGAAUUCGCCACGUCUGCAUCCACAACAUAACCAUUUCUCCCAAUUGUACAUCCUCUCGAACCUUAGAGUUUGUAGGGACGGGAAGGAGGGCUUAAUUGUGUUGGAGGAAGAAGCAUUCCCAUAAAAUUCACUACCCACCAUUUUAACUCCUUUCAUUUGUAAGAUAGAAAGAUGUUUAAGAGAGGGUAGCUGCCCGAGUGGUGGCAAUGACGAGCAAUUGUUACAAUUCUGAAGCCCCAGGUCAACAAGAUUGAAGAAUGAAGGAUCUCCUACCCAAGCUGGAAAGCUUAAACCACUAAAAGAAUUAAUAUGGAGUCUCUUGAGGUUUGUAUGUGGCUGUAAGCUGCUGAGUAUAUCCCUUCUAUUUUGCAUAACACCACCAACAUCAGUGCUCUCAUUAUCCCACUCAAACUUCAACUCAUCAAGGUACUUUUUAUCCUUCAUAUUAGCUUCU
rnacentral:lncRNA from 1 species